rnacentral:rRNA from 1 species
AUUGAACGCUGGCGGCAGGCCUAACACAUGCAAGUCGAACGAGUGGCGGACUGGUGAGUAAUGUCUUGGAAAAUGCCCGUUGGCGGGGGAUAACUACUGGAAACAGUAGCUAAUACCGCAUACCAUCGGAUGUUCCCAGAUGGGAUUAGCUAGUAGGUGGGGUAACGGCUCACCUAGGCGACGAUCCCUAGCUGGUCUGAGAGGAUGACCAGCUACACUGGAACUGAGACACGGUCCAGACUCCUACGGGAGGCAGCAGUGGGGAAUAUUGCACAAUGGGCGCAAGCCUGAUGCAGCCAUGCCGCGUGUAUGAAGAAGGCCUUCGGGUUGUAAAGUACUUUCAGCGAGGAGGCGUUACUCGCAGAAAAAGCACCGGCUAACUACGUGCCAGCAGCCGCGGUAAUUC